AGGGAAGCGGUGAGGGAAGCGGUAGCGAGCGGUGGCACCCGCACCGGCUCGUAGUCGAUGCUGCGACACAGGUCCGCCCCCGACACGCUGGCCGUCAUGCGGCGCAUCGACGAGGAACGCUUAAACUGGACACGUGCGGUGACCAAACGACUGUUUAUUACGCUGCACUUAUUACAAAACCAAGCAUCAAGUAAUGGCACUAAAUGGCGUGGUGUGUGUGGUGCGUGAUACGAAUGAACUACUUACGCAAUACGGCUACACUUACGGCGGGGAAGAUCAGCACGGAUUCUUGUCGCAAUACAGCACAUGCACAACAGAUGGGAGCGCUCUACGUGGAAGCGCCGGAGGCUCUUGCAUCGACUGCUGCCCCCGACUGCUGGGUGCCUUUACUGCGCGGUUCCACGAUUGGAGUGGAUUUGGAGUGGAGAGGGGGCGCAGGCGGGCGGGGGCGAGGUGUGCGAGACGGUCAACUCGGAAUUAGUUAUCAGAACAACUAGCAACUCACUACUACACGGCUACGGCUUACUGCUGUUUACUGCUAGUGGUGUGUGCACUUGAGGAUAUGGGGAACGACGACGCUCGAAAAGAAGGUGUGAGGGACGCUUGAUAUUUCGGUAAAUUUAGAACUUUUGAGGGGGAACAAAACACGCGCACUCCAAAACAAAACCAAGAGACCCCCAAAAGACGUUAGAACGAGGCAUCAAAAAAGGAGUGUUUUGAUUAGUAAUUGUUUCCGAUCGAUACCGUUUAUUAUACCCAAUCGAUUUAGCCAUUUUGAUUCCAUUUCCUUUUCCUUUUUUGGAUUUGUUUUUUUUUGUUUUCCUCUAUGUAUCGUGUUAUAGUAAUAUAUCGUUUUUUUUUCUUCUUCUGUUGUAUCAUAUUCAUUCAGGUAAACUUUUAUAGAGUUUUAGGUUCGCUUUUAGUAAAACGGUAUUUCGUUCUGCUUGCUCACACAACGUUCACAACUUCCAUUCCGUUUUUUUCUUUACGUCAAUCAUCAAUCAAUGUUUUAGUAGUCAAGUUAAUGUAUCUUCUGUGUCUUCUCUUUCUUCUUGUACGCACGUUAUUUGCCAUCAUUAUCAAACGCCUUCUAAACGACACGGAACAUCUUCUUACAUCUCGCGGAUAGAUAGCGCAAGGACGACGCCAUAGUUGCACCGGAUAGUUUUGGCGUUUUUUGUUUUGUUUUGGUCUCCGCACUUACGUAUGUUUGAACUGAAAUCAACAAUAAUGUUGCAAAUCGUUGCAGGGAAUUAUACCGCAGUUGGAAGAUAAUAAGCGUGACAAUUUAAUAAUUAUUUGCGUUUCUUUUUUCCCCGUAUAAGCGCAAAACAGCCUUUGAACGUGUGACUAAACUGACGCAAACGAACUGGCGAAUCGAAAAGGGACGCAAAAUGGAACCUUUUUUCCCCAAAAAAUAUUUGGGACUUGUGUAGCUAUUCGUGUUUCGUGUCCGUUAAUUUGUGUAAUGUUCCAAAAUAAGCUACAAGCAUUCCAUUUUUAGCUAUCCUUUCGUUUCGUACCGUGCGUUUUGCAAUGGAAAGCUGCCAUUUUUGUGUUUGUGUGCAAACUUGUGUGAAAGGAAUUUAAAGUGUUUUUAAAAAAAAGGAUUACAUUGUACAAACUUUACACUAAUAUGCUUUACAUAUGCGCUGUGCUAAUAUUAUAAGAUGAAUAAUUGUGGAUAAUAUUGUAAAGAUAAGCAAACGAAGAACGAUCACUUCUUCAGACGCAUUUUGCGGUGUUCGAACAACAACGAUCACAUUGAUUGUUCUGGUUUAUGGUAUUCUUCUUCUGGUUCUAUGGUCAACUGUUACUGUUAAUACUACUGGGUGUGUUUGUUUGUUUCUUCUGUUUUGGUAUACAUCGGGUCUGUUUUUACCUUCAUGUUCUACUGUGCUUGGCUACUAUCAUUUCUCCGUUUUACAUUUGGAGACAUUACGAAUGUUUCUUAACUCUUUUGUAUGCUUUUUUUGGGGUUUUUUGUUUUGUUUGCUGUGUUACUGCUACGCAAUGUGCUAGAAAUGUAUUGAAACGAAUGUGUAAAACGCACUGUGUUACAACAAUAUAACUUAAAUAACACACUUUUACUUUCCCCGCUACCAACUUGCCAAUGAACUAGCUAACAAACAACGGAAACAGAAUUUGAUAACAAAAAUCCUGCAAAAGGUUCUUUUUUUCAUUUUUCAAUUUUGCACACUAACUUCCGUGUAAAACGUAACACUUUAAACACGCGUAACACAGACAUUAACGAUAAUUGGAUAGCAAUGAAACGAAGCAUACAAAACGCGAUUCCAAUUUAGAAAGGUACAGGAGUGGUUGGCUGUAAAAAAAGAAAAGAAGUAAAGAAAGAAACAAAGAAAACAAAAUUAAACUAUAAAGUACAAACAACAAAAGGAAAUAGAACAAGAAAUCCAAUCGAAAAUAAAGGGAGAAAAUAUACAAAUUUGGGGUAAAUUUUAAUUUUAGAACGCGAAAACAAACAACCACACAAACAAACA